AUUGCAGUUUCAUAUGCAAAGCAUGCAUCAGCCACAUCCAUGCUAUCUCCUAAAGCAGUCAUUCUGAAACCCAAUCUGGGGACAGUGCAGACUAAAUAAAAUUUCAUUUUGAUUUGGCCUCCCGCUGAGAAUGGGACUGCUUUGUUUCAGCCGACAGAACCAGCAAGCCAGAAAGGUGUUGAAUACACAAAUACUGACUUAACGGACAAUUAUGAGAACUAUCAAAACUUAUGUUCAUUCUCAAAAUGAGCACCUGAACUUCCUAAACUUCCAAGCUCACAGCUGCUUGUGGCAGUAUGUGAAUGGCAGCUGUCUCACUGGAGAAGAGAUUCCGCCUUGCAGUCCUGGAGGAACGCUUGGACUCAGCACAGUCCCAGACAGCCCCUCAAGAUCCUAGAUGAAG